CUGCUCCGCCCCCAAAUCAAGCUGCAGCAGAAGACUAACCGCACUGAGCUAGCUGCAGCUGAGUACUAUUGUAGCUAGUUAACAGGUACCUAAUACCUCAUGCAAGCUAGUAUUGGUGCUCUGAAGAAGUUUCUAUUUUUAAUAAGGCAGAGAAAAAAGAGAGAGCUGUUUUGUGAGUAAUUGAAUUAGGAGCAGACCAGCCCCACCCCCCUUCUGCAGGACCCCAGGGCAUUUCUUCAGAAUGAGGUACAAGCAUUAAACGAAAUCCUAUAGUGGCACGUGUAACAACAACGGUCGAACUAUCGCAUGCUGUAUGGCUUGCUCAUCAGUUAAGGCCCGGCCAGUGACCACUGUAUUUUCAUAGCACAGGAUGCUACAUGCCGAUCCCAUGCCGCACAUUAUGGAACACCAUCUAUAAACAAUACUCCGUUCACGCAUCAUCUGGCAAUGGAAUGUGCCGACUGAUAAUGUGAGGAUACAACCACGACUGUUCCCUUGGCAACUGCCGGUCAUCAUCACCGCGUUCUUUCUUGCCUUCUCUACUAGACCUCUCCGAGGGAUCCUGGCGAUUGGAGUAUGAUCUGUCUUGACUGGUUGUUUUAGAGUCUUUAGUACCACUUCUCUUUGGACUGCUGUGAGGAGAGCCGCUAUAAUCUCUGCCUUCUCUGAGACGCUUUAAUGGUGGCUCCUGGGAGGACCUGCACAAGGGAACAAAAGCACUCACUCAGACACAGCAAGUGCAAUGGUUGAGGGACAAUGGGAGAGAAAGUGGGUUGCAAGAAAAUAGGAAGUAUUGAUGAGAGGAAGAAAUGGGAAACUCUAUUGUAAACUUAGGAAGAUUAAUCAACUGGCCAACAAAUACAAUGGUACCAAAUCAGGCAGCUAAACACUGGCAAUCUCCUCACCUGUCCUUCUUGUUGAUUAGUCCAUACGAUUUCCCCUGGUUACCAUCAGACUCCGCCCCUCUCUGGGAGUGGUCAUCUGGCGUACGAAGAUAUUCCUCCCUGCUCACUAACUCAAGAUGGUGCUGACUGAAGCCGAGAGUCUGGAUGGUGAUAAUGAUCACACAAAGUUACAUAAGAAGAGAACACAUGUUUAUGUACAAUAAAACGACAUAAUACUUGUGUACAGUGGAAACUCUAAUAUAAAU